rnacentral:misc_RNA from 1 species
UCUCCGUAGGUGAACCUGCGGAGGGAUCAUUACCGAGUGAGGGUUCCGGCCCGACCUCCAACCCUUUGUGAAUUCGACCCAGUUGCCUCGGGGGCGACCCCGCCGUUUCGGCGGUGGCGCUCCCGGUGGCCAAUUAUUAAACUCUGCAUCUCUUGCGUCGGAGUCUUAAAGAAAUUUAAACAAAACUUUCAACAACGGAUCUCUUGGUUCUGGCAUCGAUGAAGAACGCAGC